GUAUUAGUAGCUUAAAUGUUAAAGCAUCAGUCUUGUAAACUGAACAACAAAGGUUAAAAUCCCUUCUAAUGCU
rnacentral:tRNA from 1 species